GGCUAGAGUUUGAUCAUGGCUCAGGAUAAACGCUGGCGGCGCACAUAAGACAUGCAAGUCGAACGGACAGAAUCCGAAUGUUUCAUUUGGAGAAUGUUAGUGGCGGACUGGUGAGUAACGCGUAAGGAACCUGCCUAUUAGAGGGGAAUAACAGUGAGAAAUCAUUGCUAAUACCGCGUAUACCAUAAUAGUUGCAUGACUAAAAUGGGAAAGGAGAAAUCCGCUAAUAGAUGGCCUUGCGUCUGAUUAGGUAGUUGGUGGGGUAAAGGCCUACCAAGCCGACGAUCAGUAGCCGGACUGAGAGGUUGAACGGCCACAUUGGGACUGAGAUACGGCCCAGACUCCUACGGGAGGCAGCAGUCGGGAAUAUUGCGCAAUGGAGGAAACUCUGACGCAGUGACGCCGCGUAUAGGAAGAAGGUUUUCGGACUGUAAACUAUUGUCGUUAGGGAAGAGAAAGGACAGUACCUAAGGAGGAAGCUCCGGCUAACUACGUGCCAGCAGCCGCGGUAACACGUAGGGAGCGAGCGUUAUCCGGAAUUAUUGGGUGUAAAGGGUGCGUAGACGGGAAUACAAGUUAGUUGUGAAAUCCCUCGGCUUAACUGAGGAACUGCAACUAAAACUAUAUUUCUUGAGUGCAGGAGAGGUAAGUGGAAUUCCUAGUGUAGCGGUGAAAUGCGUAGAUAUUAGGAGGAACACCAGUGGCGAAGGCGACUUACUGGACUGCAACUGACGUUGAGGCACGAAAGUGUGGGGAGCAAACAGGAUUAGAUACCCUGGUAGUCCACACCGUANACGAUGGAUACUAGGUGUAGGAGAUAUUAAGUCUUCUGUGCCGUCGCAAACGCAGUAAGUAUCCCACCUGGGGAGUACGGCCGCA
rnacentral:rRNA from 1 species